rnacentral:rRNA from 1 species
GACGAACGCUGGCGGCGUGCUUAACACAUGCAAGUCGAACGGAAAGGCCCUGCUUUUGUGGGGUGCUCGAUUGGCGAACGGGUGAGUAACACGUGAGUAACCUGCCCUUGUCUUUGGGAUAACUUCACGAAACUGGGGCUAAUAUCCGAUAGGAGCUCCUGAUCCAUGGUGGGGGUUGGAAAGUUUCGGCGGUUGGGGCUGGACUCGCGGCUUAUGAGCUUGUUGGGCGGGUUGUGGCUUACCAAGGCUUCGACGGGUAGCCGGCAUGGGAGGGGAGCCGGCGACAAUGGGACUACGAUACGGCGCAGUCGCGUACGGGCGGCAACAGUCGGGAGUAUGACGCAAUAGGCGGGAGCCUGUUACAGCGGCGCUGGGUGCGUAAAGACGUGCUUCGGGUUGUAAACCGCUUUCGCCGGAGACGAAGCGUUAUUGACGGUAAUGAAUAAAGAAGCACCGGCUAACUACGUG